rnacentral:rRNA from 1 species
UACAGAGGUCCCAAGCGUUGUUCGGAUUCACUGGGCGUAAAGGGUGCGUAGGCGGUCGGGUAAGUCUGAUGUGAAAUCUCACAGCUUAACUGUGAAACUGCAUUGGAUACUAUCCGGCUUGAGAGUUGGAGGGGGGACUGGAAUUCUUGGUGUAGCAGUGAAAUGCGUAGAUAUCGGAAGGAACACCUGUGGCGAAAGCGGCUCACUGGACCAUUACUGACGCUGAGGCACGAAAGCUAGGGGAGCAAACAGGAUUAGAA